GUGUAAUGCAAAUACACGAAGGCUGCCUCCCCUAGACACGGCACAUGUUUGACGGCCUCAGGAACUAUGCCUCUUCUGACCUCAGUAUUGCGAAGAGGGGAGGAGAGUAAAUGUGCAGAGGCAGAAACCGGGGCAUGGACUGGCAAGCUGUUCCACCAUGAAGGGGCUCUGAACAAGAAAACACCCUGCCCUCCAGCUGUGCUUUUAGAUAUUCUCAGGAUGACUUAGGUCAAAGUGUGGUGAUUAAAGCAUGCAUGUUGGUUUAUAUUGUUUGAGCAUGUCCUUGAGUACUGUUA